CUCACAUGAUCUCUGCAGCUUCAGAACUGGUUUUUCCUUAGAUCGACUUCCAAGUGGGAUCUGCUUUAGUCAAAGUGAGUGGUGUGACCUGGUGCUUUAGUCAAGAGAUUCAGAAGAUUAGGAUGUUACUUAGACAAAUAGAUAAUGGCCUAAUACUGCCUGAGAUACAGAACUCAGGAGGAGAGACGGAUUACCACUAAGGUCUCACCAAUGUUUAAGAUAUAUCGAUGACAUUGGAAGUAGUUACAGAGUGCAAGUAGAACAUCUGUGGAUGUGGAAAAUAUUCCAAGAAGGAAAUGACGUCUGGGUGCCAUGAGUUAUCUCCAGAGCUGGUGGCUUGGAAAAGCAGAAGAGCGGGGAGUGCAGGAGUACAGUAUUUACACUGGUCAAGCCCCAAAAAGAUGACUGAGACAUAAAACAGUUGCCAGUAUUUGUUUUGAAUUUACGUCUCCACUCUGCGUUGGUAAGCAGAGUUCAUUUU